CGGGGUGUAGCGCAGCUUGGUAGCGCAUCUGCUUUGGGAGCAGAGGGUCGCAGGUUCAAAUCCUGUCACCCCGACCG
rnacentral:tRNA from 3 species